GACGAACGCUGGCGGCGUGCUUAACACAUGCAAGUCGAACGCUGAAGCUCAGCUUUUGUUGGGUGGAUGAGUGGCGAACGGGUGAGUAACACGUGAGUAACCUGCCCCCUUCUUUGGGAUAACGCCCGGAAACGGGUGCUAAUACUGGAUAUUCACUGGUCUUCGCAUGGGGGUUGGUGGAAAGGGUUUUUCUGGUGGGGGAUGGGCUCGCGGCCUAUCAGCUUGUUGGUGGGGUGAUGGCCUACCAAGGCUUUGACGGGUAGCCGGCCUGAGAGGGUGACCGGUCACAUUGGGACUGAGAUACGGCCCAGACUCCUACGGGAGGCAGCGGUGGGGAAUAUUGCACAAUGGGCGCAAGCCUGAUGCAGCGACGCCGCGUGAGGGAUGGAGGCCUUCGGGUUGUGAACCUCUUUCGCUCAUGGUCAAGCCGCAACAAUGGUUGUGGUGAGGGUAGUGGGUAAAGAAGCGCCGGCUAACUACGUG
rnacentral:rRNA from 1 species